rnacentral:rRNA from 1 species
ACGCUCGACACCUACGGGAAGCAGCAGUGGGGGAUAUUGCACAAUGGGGGAAACCCUGAUGCAGCGACGCCGCGUGAAGGAAGAAGGCCUUCGGGUUGUAAACUUCUGUCGUACGGGACGAUAAUGACGGUACCGUACAAGAAAGCCACGGCUAACUACGUGCCAGCAGCCGCGGUAAUCUGAGCGGGCUGGCAAGGC